CGCACCUUGCGCCUCUUGGUAUUCCGAGAGGCAUGCCUGUUUGAGUGUCAUGAAACCUCAAUCCCCAUGGGUUUUUCGACCUGUGGGGACUUGGACCUGGGCGCCUGCCUGCCAAGGCUCGCCUUAAAUGACUCAGUGGGAACUUCUUGACCUACGCCUGACGUGAUAAGUUUCGUCUCGGCUGGUCUUGAGGCCCGCUCACAACAACCCAACUUUUUGACAUUGACCUCAAAUCAGGUAGGGCUACCCGCUGAACUUAA
rnacentral:misc_RNA from 1 species